AAAAAAUGGCAAAUUGCCUCGAAACAUCUCGAAACAUAAUCAUAGACAUCUCCUUCCUCCACCUCUCAUCUCUUUGUUUAUUCCACCUUUCGUCCUCCAUCUUCCAUUCAUACAACAAUUUCUUCACCCUUGCAAGUUCUUUCAUACUCUAUUUUUUAGAUUAACUAAAUCCAACAACAUUGCAUCGUUCUUUCAUACUCUUACAGAACAUAAGGGCUUUGAUUUUCUAUUUUCAAACCCUAAAUUAUUUUUGUUUGCGUUGAUCGGAAGGGGGAAAUUUCAUCGAAUGGGCGCUUCCAAUUUCACGUUUCAUCGAAUUCGCGUUUCCGAUUUCGUGGUCUUAAUAUUGGUCUUGAUCGGGUUUUAUCGAAUUUGCAGGCUUCCAAUUUCAGGUUUCAGGAGAAAAUGGAAGGAUUUCCCGCAAAAGCUUUUGCAGAAAUGAUGCGUUUUCUCUAAAUAGAGAUAAGAACAUCGUAUCCGUAUGUGUCUUUAGUAUGUGUGAAAAGCUAAUUGUGUUCCUUGAAAAGCUGGUUGCCAAAGUCGAAAGUUGAUGCAUUUUCUUUUAACAAAACAUAUAGAAGACCGGCAUGAACCAACCUACAUAUUUUAUAUUCUGCUGAUUUCAUAUCAUAUAGGGAGUAGAGAAUGUCUUUUGAUUACCGUAGACACCAAUAGUACACUCAAUAGAGAAUUUCCUUUUAUCAUCGCAGACACCAGUAGAACACUUUAUUUCCUUCUUAUAUAAGUUUUUCUUCCUUUUAUAUGACAAAACUUUGAUAUAGGAUUAUCAUAUUGUAGUUACAAAAGAUUAUUAAGGUUAAGGAGUAAAAAUGUAUUGGCACUAAGGGGGAUUUAGACAGAACGUGACCUCAGUAGACGUGCAAGCUGUAGAAAAUCCAUGCAUAGUAGCUUCAGUUAAAUAAAAGUUGUCUAAAAAGUGUUAAAAGGGAUACCUUAACUGGUCAAGUAGCAGCAAACCUUUAGGAAGAGAUUCUGACCCAAUUUCUAUUUAUACAAGUUUUACUCAUACUUUUUUAGUACUUUGUAAUUUAUUUUCUACAUUAUAUACAUUUUUUUUGCUUGGACAGUUUUUUUGAAGCUCUACAAAAUAACGAUUGGGUGAUAUUCAUCAUAUUACCCUUGUGUUGUUCACUAAAGCCAACGGAAAACACAUUUGUUUUUUUCUAUCUUUGAUACUUGACUUCUUAAGCACACUAAGUUUACAAGAGGCAGAUGUAGUCAAUCCUAUCAUAAUAACGAGUCGAUCUUUGAAUCAAGACCAAUGUCCAUUACACUAUAGUUCUUUGCUUUCUCAAUUGGAGUUUUUUUUUUAGAAAAUAAUUUUAAAGUUGCAGGGUCUGAUUCAGCGUAAUUUUAGUAUCCAUUCACUCCUUUUUCUUACAUAGGUGCUUCCAAACCCAACUAGAAGUCGCUGGAGCAGAAUAUCCACUCCAGAACACACAGUUCUAUAACGUUUAAAGACACCAAAAGGCAGAAUAUCCACUCCAGAACACACAGUUCUAUAACGUUUAAAGACACCAAAAGGCAGAAUAUCCACUCCAGAACACAAAGUUCAAUUUUAUAGUUGUUGCUACUGCCUUGUUCAUAUUUAUAUCAUAAUCUUUUCUGGUUGUUGAUACUUUUUUUUUUAAAUAUAGAAAUAUAUUUUGUUAGACAUGUUUAAUAUAUUUUUUGUAGGAGGUCAAGAUGUCAGAUAAUGAAAGACCAAGGCAAAAGAGGAUAGAAGAUAAUAGAUAGUAAAUGAAGGAAUUGGUCCGGGGAUUGAAUCAAUGGCUUACCAAGUAAGUCAAAUGGUGAAGAGCUGAAAACAAACGAAGAGGAGUAAGAUGCAAUCGCAGAAGGUGACAAAAGAUAGUAACGAGUACGUAUCUGGUGUAGAGGGUGAACUAAAUCACUCAAGUGAAGAGAAUACCGAUGAGAUGAGGACAAGGAGUGUAAACUUUGGUAAUACUGGCGGAGUUGGCUAGUGGUUCAUCUCUAUUGUUGGGUUGGUUGUUGUUUUGGGGUGUGUAAGACAACUUAAGCCAACUGGUGUCUAAUCAAACCUGAUGAUUUUGGUGCUCCCUGUUGUGUGAAGAUCGACUAGGGUCUGCUCUAUUUUGAUUGUUGGUUUGAGUUGCAGUUUUUGAGUUCACAUAAGGAGUUUCAUGGGUGUUAUUUCAAUCUGGUGGGAAGCAAUGUAUGUUGUUGGCUUUAAGGGCAUUUUCUGUUGUUGCUGAUCUGUUUAAGUUUUGGUCAUGGUUGACUUGAGGUGACCUUUUUGCUCGGUUUCAUCGUUGGUAGGAUUAUAGGUUUUUGUUUCUUUGUUUUGGAGUUUUUGGAUGUUUUUGUAUAUAACUAUGAAAUUAUAUCAAUUUAAAUUAUUAAAUACAUCAAUAUAUUAUUGUUUCGUA